GAGCGCGCCGUGCCACGCGGCGCCGGGGAUGGGUCUGCACUCGGACAUGAGCCCGCUUGUUCCCCGCUCGCCGUGAAAAGAGUUUUGAAAUGAGUUCUGAAUAGACAGCAUUUUCUUUGUGCGAGUGGUAAAUAACCCAGAGCGGAGUUACCGAGUUGCAGCUUCUGCAUUCUGAAACUCCAUGGAACUUUUUUGUGGGGAGAAAGGCAGGAUGUUUUUUACAGAAUGUGACCUCCCCGGAACACUGGAGAAAGCGAUAGCAUCUCUGAAUGGGGCCGUGUGGAGAAACCCUAAGAAAAACAGCAUAAGAGCAUUUUGGAAUAUAUCCCGCAAAAGAUAACUUUCUACACAUCUGGCAGAGAUUCUCCAGGUAAAGACUGAAAAGGUCACGCUGGCGGUUCUGAGGACCGAGUCAGUGUUGUGUCUCACAGCGGUGGGUGAAACAAGGCAAUUACAAGGCAGGAAGAAGUUGUUAUGUUGCAGAAGUAUGUUUUGUUGUUAUGUUGCAUGUUCUUGUGGGGUCUAGCUUCUGGUUUUUGAACAAUUGGUGGGAUGCAUUUGUUGUUUACAGCUUGGAACCUUGAUCUUUCUAUUUCAGACAGAUUGCUGUCAAGUGAAUUGGAAUGCCCCCUUUAGGUCACCUUAGAAUGAGUAACGCAAAAGCAGCGAUUCUCCUGUGAGCUGUGGUGGUGCAGUUGAGAUAAAAUGAUGACAUUCCUCAUAAGACCAUCCUCGAUAAGUUCAGAAUAAUAUAUUUUUCUUUACUGAUUUUAUAACCAUUUAUUUUAAGAUAAAGUAGAGUCCUUGGGUGCUGCAUGCUAAAUCAAAUCAGUUGUGUCCAACUCUUUGCAACCCCAUGGACUGUAUCCCACCAGGCUCCUCUGUCCAUGGGACAUGGGAUUCUCCAGGCAAGAGCGCUAGGGUGGGUUGCCAUGCCCUCCUUCAGGGGAUCUUCCCAACCCAGGGAUUGAACCCGCAUCUCUUAAGUCUCCUGCACUGGCAGGCGGGUUCUUUACUACUAGUGCCACCAAACUAGCAUCCUUGGUUUGUCAUUAGUUCCUUGUGAUUGAAUACAUUCUCUGGGAAAAGCUUUAUCUUCAACAUGCAAUAAAAAUUAAUCAUAGAUCCUCAACUUAAAAAAAGUUUUACCUUAAUUAUUUCUUUAAACAUUUAACAUUAAAAUACAGCUUUGUUAGGGAGCUCUUCUCAGAUCUCUGUGCUGGCCUAAAUGGAAAGGAAAUCCGAAAGAGUGGAGAUGUGUAUAUGUAGAGCUGAUUCACUUUGCUGUACAGCAGAAACUAAUAUAGCAUUGUAAAGCAACUGUAAUCAAAUAAAAAUUAAUUAAAAGUAAAAUAAAAUACAGCUUUGUACAUCACCUUCAGAAAUAGGGCCCUUAAGUAAGGUAAUUAUGAAUUCAGGUGGCCUUGUGGGCGGGUCGAAGUCACUGCAGUACCAGAUUGUGUCCUGAGGCCAUUUACAGGACACCACCAGCAGGGGGCAGCGCAGAGCAACGAACGCCAAGCAUUUCCUACCAGAUGUCUAAAAAUCCAAAGUGAAAAUGUGUGUAUGAACAUAGUACUUUUUGGACAAUGUCCUCCCCCGAACUCAUAAACCUCUAAAAUAAAUUGUUAAAAGGCCCAAACAUGUUAAUCCCUGAAUAGUUCUCUCACUGUGAAAGUGUUGAGGGGUGAAGAGAAAACUUGAUCUCCUUGUCAGAGGUGUUUGCACUGAUUUUACUUUUGAUUGAUUUUGUCACAAAAGGCUCUGUGAGUUCAAAUACCAGUAAUAUGUGCACAUUUGCAUUAUGAAGCUUUUCAGGGUGAUUUUUAUGUUGGAAAAUAUUGUAAUAAAAUAAUAAUUCAGACUCACAGAAUAACCCUUACGAAACAGCAUUUGAUGCAAAAUGCAGCUUUGGGUAGGGUUUCAUUAAGUCCACAUUUCUUUGAAGAAAAUGAUAGCACAUUGCUUUGCUUGUUAAAUUCUUAAAUUUUUUCUCCUCAAAAUGACUACAGCUAACAUUUUAUGUUCUUAAGAAAAGCCACAUGUAAUACUCAAUAUUUGACAUACAUACGUUUAACACUGGAAAUCUGGAUAGAAUCAGACUAAACUGAAACAAAACCCGAAAGGAUUUAGAGGGACAGUUUAUUAAGACUUGUUCUAUUUCAUCACAGGAUUAUUUUGAAAACUCGAGUUUAAUGUUAUUGUUAUUCAGUCUCUCUGUCGUGUCUGACCCUUUGCAACCCCGUGGACUGCAGCAUGCCAGGCUUCCCUGUCCUUCAGCACCUCCGGCGUUUGCUCAGAUUCAUGUCCAUGGAGUCACUGAUGCCAUCCAGCCAUCUUGUCCAAGUUUACUGGUCCCAGCAAAAAUAUUGAGGGACUCUCAGUGUCUUUGUACUGAAUCUUCUCCUGUAAUCUGGAAGUUAGCAUUUAAGAUGAUCAUUCUUGUUGGCUAAUUAGGAUUGCAAAACAUUUAUUUCUCUUUCCCAAAGUUCAUGAGCCUGUAGGAAACUGGAGCUGCUCUUGCAAGCCGAGUGUCCCUCUUUUGCUGUUAGCUUUCUUGGAUUUACCUUUGAAGUGACUUUGGCUCCUGUUGACUUCCGGUAUCUGACACAUUGAGUAUGGUUGUCUUCAGGGUUUCCCAGGCAACCGGGACAGUUCAUCUUUUUCCAGUCAAAGUGCCCUUGAACUCCAGUCACUUCACUUCCCUGCAUGAGUCAUGUGUGUAGCGGGAGAGACACCAAAGGCUUCACGUGAGAGGCUGAUGUGGGUGAAAAGAUGGAUGGAUUUCACACUAAGACAUCCGCCUGGAGGUUCAGACUUCCGAUGGUGGCCUGCAGGCUCACUGAGUCAAGCUCGCAUUUUAACCUGGGGGGAGGGAUCCAGGUCCUGGGAUCUGCCUAACUCCUGGGAUCUGCCUAACUCCUGGGAUCCACUGAAUUCCUGCUCAGGGCUCCUUGGCAGACUCUUUAGCUACAAACUCUUACUUCACAUCACCCCCAAGAACUCCUCAGGGAACAGAUUAUUGCCACCACCUCUGGCCUGCAUGGUGCCGGGGGGUCCCCGAUGGCUGUCACAUCUGCCCCCGUCUCAGGUCAUGUCCACUGUGACCCACCAUGAAGCCACAAGUAGAGUCUCGUUCUGCCAGGCUUGUUUCCACCCCCAAGUCGUUCCUGAACAGCAGAGGGGGAGGAGAGAUCAGAGUACUGAGCCUUGGUCUGGGAAGGUUCCUGGACUCCACAUUGAUGCCUUCUGUGUUUUGUGUAAAGUGAAACACUUCACCUCCUCUAGGUAGGAGUACAGUAGGCAAUUCUUUUUCUCUUCUUUUCCUUGGUUCUUGUCCUCACGGCGAUGGACUAGUGGCUGGACUGAUUGACAAAUAGGGCAAUAGAAUUUACAGCCUGUGCACCCCACCAGUGGGAAUCUCAGAUGGCAGCAGGUUGCUGCCUGAGCGUGGGGCUUCUGCGGAAGUCUCCCUGUUG
ensembl:lncRNA